UACCGCGGAAUACAAUUAUCCGUUGCCAAACUUCUCCCGGAGAGUAGCUGAAGUAUUAAAAUCCAAUGGCGGUUCUUCUUUCUCUGCUCUCCAUAUCCCCAAAGGUAAUGGCUUCCUCCGUCGACACGAGCCAAAGACUUCCCUAUACCCCCCACCGUACUCCUCCUAAGAAGCCCCUAACCUCUGAUUCAACUCUAUCCUUUUCCCCUUCUACCUCCCGGUCCAAUAUUUCAGUUUCGGACCUUCUUAAACGUGAAAUUCCUAAACCAACCCAAGUGAAAGAGGAUGAAACCUAUAUGGGAUACGACAUAUGGUUACCAAGUGCACCCAAAGUUGAGAAGCCUCGUUCGGUGUUUAAUGCAGCCUCUCUUGCUUACAUUGGAGAUUGCAUCUUUGAGCUAUAUGCAAGAAGGCAUUUUUUGUUCCCACCAUUGAGCAUCGAAGAGUACAAUGAUCGAGUCAUGGCAGUAGUACGUUGCGAGGCACAAGAUGCUAUGUUGCAGAAACUUAUAAACGACAAUAUUUUGUCAGAAGAAGAAAGGGGUGUGCUUCGUUGGGGGAAAAAUAUUGUUUCAGGCAAAACUCGGACGAAAAAGCGUGCCGGUGUGGCUGUUUACAACCGAGCUUCUUCACUCGAAACACUUGUUGGUUAUCUUUACCUUACAAAUGUGCAAAGGCUAGACGUAAUCAUGCUGAAGUUGGGCUUCUGUACAGGUGACUCUAACCUGCCAAUUGUGGAGAAAAUAGAUGCUUGAUUCUGGUGCAAUUACUCAUGUGUCCAGUGUCCACUACGGUGCAAGGAUUCAUCACGAUCCCAAGCACAACCCCGGAUGGGGAAUUCUUGGUUAUGCAAAAUUGUAUGAAGCUUCCAACCGAAAGGAAUAUGGAUUUACCAUUUGAUCUUGGACCUUGGACAUUAACUUAAUUGAUGAUACUCUCUCUGUGUUCCUUUAGUUUUUAGGAAGUUGGUUUUCUUUUUCAAGAUUUGAUAUUUUGGUAUUUUUGUUCUUCAUGAUGCUGAUGUUUCUAUUGAUGGUUUAUAUAAAUCGAAACUUCAUAAUGUAUUUUUUGAACCUUUUCAUUGUUCAUCAUAAUGUUGGAAUCAAAAAUAUUUACUGGACGAAAAAAAUUCUGCAUACUUUGUGGCAAAGACUUUUGGGUCAUAUAUUCGAAUAAAGGUUAGUAAGAUUAAUAAAGAAUGAGAUUCUUUCAAAUUCAGGUUUCAAUGAUUUUGAAUGUUUUGUUGCAUCAAGAGAAAGCAAACCAAACAUAAUAAAACAGGUGCAGGAAUAAGUAGCCAGCUUCUUCAAACUAUACACAUUUGUAUGUGCUUUGAUGUUCCAUCUUUUAGUGGAGAAAAAUAUUGUAUCACCUUUUGUUGUUGAUUUUUUACGUUAUGGAUAAUGCCUAUUUGUUGAAAAAAAAUCUCAAAUGAUGAAUGCUUUCGAAGUAUACUUAAACGAGGAAUGACUCAUCAUGCUUCUAACCAUGUACAUAAGUGUCCAAUACACCUUAUAUCUUUUUGUUAAGGCAUCCCUCUCACGGUAUACUGUGCACAUAUGCCAUGUCCUUCAAGAGACUUUGCAAGUACACCUGGAUGUUGCCUCGAUCCAUUAUGAUUUCCGUAAUAUUCAGCAUCUCUGUCUGGCCUAAUGAGUUUCAUCCUUUUGUCUAAUUGCUUUUUAACCUCAUUUAUUUAUACCUUGAGAGUGUCUGUUGCUCGAGAUUUUUCUUCAACAAAUAAGCAUAUCCAUAACGUGAAAAGUCAUCAAUAAAGGUGAUAAAAAUAUUCUCCACCAAAAGAUAGAAUAUCAAAGUAUCCGCAUAUGUCGGUGGGUAUAAUUUCAAGAAGUUGGCAACUGCUUAUAAAUACCUUUCUAAUUAUGUUUGAUUUGAUUUUCCUUAAUACAAUCAAACAUACAACAAGAUCGCUAAAAUUUAUAGUUGGAUGAAUUUCAUUCUUUUACUAAUCCUUGUAACAUUCCUUUGGGUAUAUGACCUAAACGUCUGGUCCUUUGUGCCACAAGUAACAAAAACUUUCAUCCCAUGAUCCAAUUACAAUGAACAGGAAGAAGAAAUUUAGAGAACACAUAAUCAAUAUCUAAUUUAUAUAAAUCAUCAAUAAAAACAUCAGAGCUAUAAUGAAUAAGGUUUAUAAAUGAUUAACAAAUCCAUGUCCAAACUUAAAACUAAAGCAGGAAGCAUCAAGUUGUUGUAAGAGAAACCAAAUUCCUAAAAAGUAAAAACUGACAACAGAUAAAGAGUUUGUAAUAGAUCAAGAUAAUGUCCGGUGUCUAAGAUUAAAUAGUAAGUCCUUGUGUUUCAAUUGGAACCUUUAUACGACUUCCCCGACAAAGAGGUCCUCAUAUGGGUUUGUGAUUUGGAUCAUGAUGAAUCCUUACAACAUAGUAGACAUUUGAGUAGUUGCUUAAAAAUCAAGCUACCAAGUACUAUUAGGAACUUCGUCUAAGUUCGAUUCGAAUAUAUAAAGGCAAUAAAUGUACCUUCUUUUUUGAAUGGUAAUAAGUGUACCUUUUUUUACGGUUCAUGCAAUCUUUCUGAUAGUGCCCUUUUAUACAUAAAUAACACUUGUUUGCCUUACAUUCUUCCUUAGCAUCCUGUGAACUUUAGCAGAUGCUUUCUCUUUCUUAAACUUACUGGCCUUGACUUAAGAUCUUUUACCAACUCUUUGACCCCAUAAGGCUAAUGGAAUGAUUUCCUUACUGAAAUCUUGACUCUUCUUGAGUAAGUAUACUGAACAAGUCAUUGGCAAAUGCUUUGGCACUUUAACGGAUACACCAUUAAUCACCCUUGAUUCCUUAUCUUUUGACCUGACACCAGCGAGAGCAAGAGGGAGAGUGGGGGACACCGAGGACAAUUGCUGAGGUGUGAAAAUUUUGUCCUUCACUGACAAAAAAGGAAGAUGAGAUUAAGAAAGAGAAGAAGAUGAGGUGAUUGAGAGAAGAUUCCAAGCUGGAGAAGGAGAGGGAAGACGCGGCCAGCUGAAAAAUGAGCUUGGCCUCAAUGCUUAGUUAGAGGUUUGCCAGGAAAAGAGACCAAUUAGAGCAAGAGGGACAGUGGAGGACACCGAGGACAAUGGGUGAUUUACCAAAAUUUGGUACUCCACUGAUGAAAAAGGAAGAUAGUGUGAGAAGGAGAAGAAAAUGGGGUAAUUGAAAGAAGAUCCCAUGCUAGAGGAGGAGAGAGAAGAAGCAGCCUGCUCAAGCGAGGGUAAAUGUUGGUUCCUGCUGUAGCCUGUAAUGUCGGUUCCUGCUUUACUUUGCGGCUAUUUGAAAUAUGUACAUAAGUCUGUAUGACAUGUGAGGGUGAACUAUUCAAAGGCAAAAAAGGGUCACGAGCCUGAUGAACCGAGUAUCUUUUAGGUCACUUAGCUUGUCUGCUAUCGUGCUGGCUCAAAGUUAAGCUGAUAUAAACCUACGGGAGAGAAAACCAAACAGACCCCAGUUGCUUGAAUCUAGUGUGUGGUUUACUUACGCCCUUGUUGAUAUUACAUACCAUGGUUCAUGAUUCUUAAUUCUGAGAUAUUCCAGAGUUGCUGAAAGUGGCAGAUUCUGCACCUAAAACGCGGGGGUUUGAGUGAUCUAUGCAAUUCACUUUUUAGUCCAAUGGCUUUGGGUGAUCUAUGCAAUUUAGUGCAAUGGCUUGAAAUUUUCAAAUUUGUUGAAAAAUGGAAGAAGUGAGUCACGAUUUUGUCCAUGUCCUCUUUUCCCCCCUCGCAUAAAGAAGAAAAUUGUCAAAUUUUCUCCUUUGACUUUUACAUUUUGUUCGUCAAAGAACUCAAAGCUGUCUACAGAAGUUGUACAUAUGCUAACUUUUAAGCUUUGUUCCCGAGGAAGAUGGUCCCCACCCCCACUUUCUUUCUAUGACAUUGAGAAUGAGACGAGUUAUGGGCCAUGAGAUGACUCAUAUUUUCAACUUAUACAUGGCCCAAUUUCAAGGGGCAGAUGAUAUGUCCUUUUCCGUGAAAUAAGUUUAUCACAGAAUUGAAAGACUAGUUUAUGUGUCUGCUUAUCCAAAAAAAAUUAUAUGCAUCUGUUCAUGUGGAACACUCGCUUCGCCCGAUGACUCAAAUUUUCAACUUAUAUGAGUCCAAUUUCAAGGGCCAUAUGAUACGUCUUUUCCUUGAAGUAAGUUCAUCACAGAAUUGAGAGACUAGUUUAUCCAAAAAAAAAAAAACUAUAUUUGUCUGUUCAUGUGGAACAAUAGAUUGUACCUUUUCAUGUAAUUUGCUGGUUGCUCUUUUCUCCUCUUUUCUAUCCCCUGAUGGUUGCAACAACUGAACUUUUGGAAUUGGAUAGAUGGUGGAACUUUCUUUUGCCGCUGGUACAACAAGGUGAUGUUGGUGGAAGUGAUGAAGUUCAUGAAGUGCAAUUCAAUAUAAAAAGGACAGAUAUGUCCAAUGGCAUGCUGAAAGUAAUGAGAGUCUCAAAAACAACAUUGUUCAGAAGGCUGUUAUAACCUCUUCACUGCUUUCUCUUUUCAAUAUCUCAAGAGCUUGGAUGUGGGCUCAUCGUAUUUCAAAGCUUAGAUAGAAAGAAAGAGGUCGGGUUGUUCUGAGAUGGAGAAACAUUCAUACUGACAGCAGAGCUAUGAUUUCCUCGUUAAUACUUCUGGAAAAUAUAUGCAUAACUGAAUGGGUUGAGGAAUGUGUUAGAUUUGCUCAUUCGCAGUUCUUAACUUGAGGGUAAAUUGUUCGUGAACACGUUUGUAAGUAGCUAUGUUUUGUAACAGGUCAUAUGUCAUGUAAUACGUGGUAAUUAAAUUAUUCGAUUGACUUUUUGGAGGAGAAUAAGUUGAGGUUUAGUAUCUUUUUUA